UUGAGAAAAUUCUAACACUACAACAGCAGCUCCUUACAAAAGUCAUACCUCAGAUAAUCAGGUUCACCAUCCCAAUUAAGGACAUUAAUACAAAGACAAUGGCGUAGAUUACAGUCAUGUCGGAAUUUAUCGUGAAAAACCUUUUCAUUACCUGGAAGCUAUCAGAAGAACAGUCAGUUUCAGACUCUCUUUUAGAACCUGUAUAGUUGCAACUGCUCGGUGAUCAAAGUAAAUGGCCACCUGUUGGAACUGUUCCUCAUUGCACACUUAAUUCAUCAACAGUGUUCCAUCUCGCCUUUCCUGUAUGUGUUGCCUCUCGAGCCAUUGGUGAAGAAAUUGCAACAGUUGAGAGGGUCAUGUCAGUUUAUGUGAAUGACAGCACCGUCAUGAUGUCGAAUGCCACUAAAAUAGAGGCGGUCGGCCCCAAUCUAAAGAAAUAUGAGAUGCUACCAGAGGUUAAAAUCAAUCUGGACAAACCAAUAAGUAGCUGCUUGACAUUUGGAAAAGAAAGUUCAUGACGACAGACAUGGUGAUCUAUCUUUCUGUAUCAGAGAAAACUCUUUGCUGCCAGAAAUUCUACCAUAUUGUCUGCAAAACAGUGUCUCAAAGUCACCUUAUACUGGUGAGUCACAUAUUAUGAACACAUAUUUAAAAGGAGGAAGUAUUGUCUGGUGAUACAAAGCAACAGUGAUUAGGUGUUUAUGGUUGAAUCUGCAAGAGCAUAUUAAGAAUGAAUUUGAUUACAUUGAAAGUAAAGUUCAACCACUGGAAAGAAGCGUGUAGCUGUUUUGAAAUAAAAAUGAUUUUGAACUUGA
rnacentral:lncRNA from 1 species